ensembl:lncRNA LINC02359 long intergenic non-protein coding RNA 2359
UUGAUAUCAAAGCAAAAGGCUCAUUCAUUUACUUGCAUUUGUGGUUGGGAGCAUUUCCCGAAGAGAGGUGGGGAAUUGGUGAUGGGAAAGCACAAGUCAGGCUGGAUGCCCGGCCCUGGGCACUCUCAUGCCUCUUCUGGAGCCCUUCAGUUUGGAUCAUCGCCCUUUCCCACAUGCCACAUUGUUUGUCCACCCUGAUAGCCUCUGUCAUGACACACCAGCCCUGGGAUAUCACAUAAGCUACAGGUCAGACGCUGCUUUCCAGACAGAAUUAUGGAGAAGACAACCAUCAUUUUGGUUCAGCCAACCCAUAUUGCACAUUUAAAGCCAUUAGUUGUUCCCACCUCUAAUAGGAGCUAUAGAUAGUGGAUUUCAAGAGAGUACCAAGGUUGCUACUCCAUAAUGGCCAGAAGAGCAAGCCAAAAACAUCAGAGUAAACACAGAAACCUCACAUCUCAGGGAGGUUUGCUUAACAAACAUAUCAAGACCUGGGAUACCUGGAAAACUGCAGAUGAAAAGAAUAUGUCUAAGAUCCUGUUAACAGCAGAACUUAGACUGCUAGCCCUGCUGGAAAUUUUCCAUGCUCUUCAUUCGUUCUCCUGUAUUUCCUAACGCCAAUAAAAGAGGAGAUCCCUGA